UGGGGAAUUUUAGACAAUGGGCGAAAGCCUGAUCCAGCAAUGCCGCGUGUGUGAAGAAGGCCUUCGGGUUGUAAAGCACUUUUGUCCGGAAAGAAAUCCUUGGCUCUAAUACAGUCGGGGGAUGACGGUACCGGAAGAAUAAGCACCGGCUAACUACGUGCCAGCAGCCGCGGUAAUACGUAGGGUGCAAGCGUUAAUCGGAAUUACUGGGCGUAAAGCGUGCGCAGGCGGUUUGCUAAGACCGAUGUGAAAUCCCCGGGCUCAACCUGGGAACUGCAUUGGUGACUGGCAGGCUAGAGUAUGGCAGAGGGGGGUAGAAUUCCACGUGUAGCAGUGAAAUGCGUAGAGAUGUGGAGGAAUACCGAUGGCGAAGGCAGCCCCCUGGGCCAAUACUGACGCUCAUGCACGAAAGCGUGGGGAGCAAAACAGGAUUAGAUACCCUGGUAGUCCACGCCCUAAACGAUGUCAACUAGUUGUUGGGGAUUCAUUUCCUUAGUAACGUAGCUAACGCGUGAAGUUGACCGCCUGGGGGAGUACGGGUCGCAAAGAUUAAAAACUUAAAUGAAUUGACGGGGUCAUAGCUGUUUCCU
rnacentral:rRNA from 1 species